AAAUCUAUGCGCUCAACGUAUAGGCCGCCGAAAAUACUGGGCAGCUAGGGAGUGGGAGAGGUACACGGUACUCAAUAGGAAGGGGUAAAAUCCUUUGAUCUAUUGAUGACCACCUGUGGCGAAGGCGGUGUACCAGAACACGUUCGACGGUGAGGGAUGAAAGCUGGGGGAGCAAACCGGAUUAGAUACCCGGGUAGUCCCAGCUGUAAACGAUGCAGACUCGGUGAUGCAUUGGCUUGUGGCCAAUGCAGUGCCGCAGGGAAGCCGUUAAGUCUGCCGCCUGGGAAGUACGUACGCAAGUAUGAAACUUAAAGGAAUUGGCGGGGGAGCACCACAAGGGGUGAAGCCUGCGGUUCAAUUGGAGUCAACGCCAGAAAUCUUACCUGGGGCGACAGCAGAAUGAAGGUCAAGCUGAAGACUUUACCAGACAAGCUGAGAGGUGGUGCAUGGCCGUCGCCAGCUCGUGCCGUGAGAUGUCCUGUUAAGUCAGGUAACGAGCGAGACCCCUGCGUCUAGUUGCUACCAUUACUCUCUGGAGUAGUGGAGCGAAUUAGACGGACCGCCACAGUUAAUGUGGAGGAAGGAAGGGGCCACGGCAGGUCAGUAUGCCCCGAAACCCUAGGGCUACACGCGGGCUGCAAUGGUAUUGACAAUGUGUUCCGAAUCCGAAAGGAGGAGGCAAUCAUCAAACGAUACCUCAGUUAUGACUGAGGGCUGUAACUCGCCCUCACGAAUAUGGAAUCCCUAGUAACUGCGCGUCACUACCGCGCGGUGAAUACGUCCCUGCUCCUUGCACACACCGCCCGUCGUUUCAUCGAAGUUGGCCUUUAGUGAGGUAGUGUCUUGUUGGCAUUAUCGAGCUUGAGGUCAGUGACGAGGGAAAAGUCGUAACAAGGUA
rnacentral:rRNA from 1 species